rfam:Myotis brandtii contig302497, whole genome shotgun sequence.
GGCGGUUCUUAGGUGACGCACACUAGAAUCAGGCUCCCUCCUCUCUGGUUCCGGGGUGCAUCAGUCACCUGAGAACCGCC